UAACAAGGUUUCCGUAGGUGAACCUGCGGAAGGAUCAUUACCGAGUGAGGGCCCUCUGGGUCCAACCUCCCACCCGUGUUUAUUUUACCUUGUUGCUUCGGCGGGCCCGCCUUAACUGGCCGCCGGGGGGCUUACGCCCCCGGGCCCGCGCCCGCCGAAGACACCCUCGAACUCUGUCUGAAGAUUGUAGUCUGAGUGAAAAUAUAAAUUAUUUAAAACUUUCAACAACGGAUCUCUUGGUUCCGGCAUCGAUGAAGAACGCAGCGAAAUGCGAUACGUAAUGUGAAUUGCAAAUUCAGUGAAUCAUCGAGUCUUUGAACGCACAUUGCGCCCCCUGGUAUUCCGGGGGGCAUGCCUGUCCGAGCGUCAUUUCUGCCCUCAAGCACGGCUUGUGUGUUGGGCCCCGUCCUCCGAUCCCGGGGGACGGGCCCGAAAGGCAGCGGCGGCACCGCGUCCGGUCCUCGAGCGUAUGGGGCUUUGUCACCCGCUCUGUAGGCCCGGCCGGCGCUUGCCGAUCAACCCAAAUUUUUAUCCAGGUUGACCUCGGAUCAGGUAGGGAUACCCGCUGAACUUAAGCAUAUCAAUAAGCGGAGGA
rnacentral:rRNA from 1 species